AGUCAUCGGAUUUCAUCAAAAAUAUCUUGAGCUAAGAACUAAGACAUCUUGAACCUUAGAUUUCAUUUUGAGGCUGUUACCGAAGAUUACAAGUAUCUUCUCCACUUCUGUGCCCUCGAUGAGCUGCUUGAGCUCUUUCAGGUGGACUUUUCUCCUGAGCAGCGCAGAGCGAUGUUUGACGCUGCAGACACUCAUCAAUGCAGCGCCAUCAACUUUGAGGGGUUUCUUCAGCUGAUGAACAAUAUGAACAUUAGGACACCUGUACCGAGGCCUGCUGGGAUUGAAGAGAACAGAGAUGAGAUUAUGAUGGCGUUGUCUGAUGUAGCAGAAGCUCACCCCUUUACACAGAUGAGUUAUGGUUUGUUCUAAACUACAGUGAUUCUGUAAAUAGUUCUGUUCAUCUGUGUUCUGUUAACUCUCUCCCAAAUGGGUUUUGUCUUUUAAGUGGCAUACAUAGAAAAUUACACUUUUUUUUUUUUUGACUUCAGUUUUUAAUUUUUUUUGUUCAUCUGUACAGCAUCUCAGACUGAAUUAUACAUUUUUUUGUGAUAUAAAAGUGAGUACAAAAAUAUAGUUUCAUUAAGGAUGAUUAGUCAGAAUAGAAGUCAAAGUAUGAUAUAUGUGGCGUAUAAAGAAAAUUAAUUAUUUUUUUUUUUUUUUUUUUUAGUUCAGCAUUUAUUUAUUUUAUUUUUU